GUCCAGGGUAGCCGAGUAGACAAGGCACCUGCCCGGUAAGCAGAAGGGUGUGGGUUCGAUUAACGCCCUGGACA
rnacentral:tRNA from 1 species